UACCAGCACCCCGAGUGGUCGGGACGAUUAUUGGGCCUAAAGCAUCCGUAGCCGGCCUUACAAGUCCUCCGUUAAAUCCAGCUGCUUAACAGAUGGGCUGCGGAGGAUACUAUGAGACUAGGAGGCAGGAGAGGCAAGCGGUACUCAGUGGGUAGGGGUAAAAAUCCGUUGAUCCAUUGAAGACCACCAGUGGCGAAGGCGGCUUGCCAGAAUGCGCUCGACGGUGAGGGAUGAAAGCUGGGGGAGCAAACCGG
rnacentral:rRNA from 1 species